GCAAACUUGGUCAUUUAGAGGAAGUAAAAGUCGUAACAAGGUUUCCGUAGGUGAACCUGCGGAAGGAUCAUUACAAAGUAACGGCCGGUCGUCCGAAACAGACCACUGUAAGCGGCGGUCGGGAGCUCCCUCCCGUCCGUCGCUGACAGGUUACCCUUUGUGAAAACGCCUCGUUGCUUCGGCAGCAUCUCUCCGUCCGCGGCGAGAAUCAGCCUGCCGACGGCAUUCUCGAAAACCCUCUCGUGAAAUCGAUCUUCGUACGUCUGAGAACGCAAGUCUAAUGACGCAUAAAACUUUCAACAACGGAUCUCUUGGUUCCCGCAUCGAUGAAGAACGCAGC
rnacentral:misc_RNA from 1 species